rnacentral:rRNA from 1 species
AACGAACGCUGGCGGCAGGCCUAAUACAUGCAAGUCGAACGCUCGUAGCAAUACGAGAGUGGCAGACGGGUGAGUAACACGUGGGAACCUUCCCUAUGGUUCGGAAUAGCUCAGGGAAACUUGAGGUAAUACCGGAUAAGCCCUUACGGGGAAAGAUUUAUCGCCAUUGGAUGGGCCCGCGUCGGAUUAGCUAGUUGGUGGGGUAACGGCCUACCAAGGCGACGAUCCGUAGCUGGUCUGAGAGGAUGAUCAGCCACACUGGGACUGAGACACGGCCCAGACUCCUACGGGAGGCAGCAGUAGGGAAUAUUGGACAAUGGGCGCAAGCCUGAUCCAGCCAUGCCGCGUGAGUG